CAUGACGCCUGAUACUUACUUGAAGUC
rnacentral:piRNA from 1 species